UACGUAGGGUGCGAGCGUUGUCCGGAAUUACUGGGCGUAAAGAGCUCGUAGGUGGUUUGUCGCGUUGUCCGUGAAAACUCACAACUCAAUUGUGGGCGUGCGGGCGAUACGGGCAGACUGGAGUACUGCAGGGGAGACUGGAAUUCCUGGUGUAGCGGUGGAAUGCGCAGAUAUCAGGAGGAACACCGGUGGCGAAGGCGGGUCUCUGGGCAGUAACUGACGCUGAGGAGCGAAAGCGUGGUGAGCGAACAGG
rnacentral:rRNA from 1 species